rnacentral:lncRNA from 1 species
GAAGAGUUCUUUGAUAUUAUCCUAUGACCUAUAAACACCCCUCUUUUUAUCUUUGUUUAUCUUGUUUGGAUUUUUAUAAAGGAUUCCUUUUCUAGGAUGAUAUGUUUACUUGCUUACUAAGUUACUUGACUUUGAAUUGUGUGUGAAGUUAGGAUGAUUUAUCUUGUUCCUCUUGAAACUCAUGUUGAGUUGAAUUAUUGCAUAAGUCU